rnacentral:rRNA from 1 species
ACGGAAGGCAGCAGUGGGGAAUUUUGCGCAAUGGGGGAAACCCUGACGCAGCAACGCCGCGUGAGUGAUGAAGGCUUUCGGGUCGUAAAGCUCUGUCAGAGGGGAAGAAAUGGAAACGGUUAAUACCCGUUUUCCUUGACGGUACCCUCAAAGGAAGCACCGGCUAACUCCGUGCCAGCAGCCGCGGUAAUACGGAGGGUGCAAGCGUUGUUCGGAUUUAUUGGGCGUAAAGCGCGUGUAGGCGGUUUCUUAAGUCUGAUGUGAAAGCCCUGGGCUCAACCCAGGAAGUGCAUUGGAUACUGGGAAACUUGAAUACGGGAGAGGGUAGUGGAAUUCCUAGUGUAGGAGUGAAAUCCGUAGAUAUUAGGAGGAACACCGGUGGCGAAGGCGGCUACCUGGACCGAUAUUGACGCUGAGACGCGAAAGCGUGGGGAGCAAACAGGAUUAGAUACCCUGGUA